GACGAACGCUGGCGGCGUGCUUAACACAUGCAAGUCGAGCGGUAAGGCCCUUUCGGGGUACGACGAGCGGCGAACGGGUGAGUAACACGUGGGUGACCUGCCCUCCAGCUCUGGGAUAAGCCUGGGAAACUGGGUCGUAAUACCGGAUAUGACUCCAUGACGCAUGUUGUGGGGUGGAAAGCCUUGUGCGGCUGAGGAUGGGCCCGCGCCUAUCAGCUUGUUGGUGGGGUGAUGGCCUACCAAGGCGACGACGGGUAGCCGGCCUGAGGGGGCGACCGGCCACACUGGGACUGAGACACGGCCCAGACUCCUACGGGAGGCAGCAGUGGGGAAUCUUGCGCAAUGGGCGAAAGCCUGACGCAGCGACGCCGCGUGAGGGAUGA
rnacentral:rRNA from 1 species